CAGAGAGUUGAUAUGGCGUCAGGACGACGCUGGCGGCGUGCCUAACACAUGCAAGUCGAGCGAGGAGAUCCUCGGGAUGAUCCUAGCGGCGGACGGGUGAGUAACACGUGGGCAACCUGCCUCAUAGAGAGGAAUAGCCUUCCGAAAGGGAGAUUAAUACCUCAUAACAUUGCAGUUUCGCAUGGAACAGCAAUUAAAGGAGUAAUCCGCUAUGAGAUGGGCCCGCGGCGCAUUAGCUAGUUGGUGAGGCAACGGCUCACCAAGGCGACGAUGCGUAGCCGACCUGAGAGGGUGAUCGGCCACAUUGGGACUGAGACACGGCCCAGACUCCUACGGGAGGCAGCAGUGGGGAAUAUUGCACAAUGGGGGAAACCCUGAUGCAAGCAACGCCGCGUGAGUGAUGACGGCCUUCGGGUUGUAAAGCUCUGUCUUCAGGGACGAUAAUGACGGUACCUGAGGAGGAAGCCACGGCUAACUACGUGCCAGCAGCCGC
rnacentral:rRNA from 1 species